GACGAACGCUGGCGGCGUGCCUAAUACAUGCAAGUAGAACGGAGUUGCGAACGGGUGAGUAACGCGUAGGUAACCUGCCGCAUAGGGGGGGAUAAAUAUUGGAAACGAUAGCUAAUACCGAAUACGGUUAGAUGGACGUGCGUUGUAUUAGCUAGUUGGUGAGGUAAAGGCUCACAAAGGCCACGAUACAUAGCCGACCUGAGAGGGUGAUCGGCCACACGGUAACUGAGACACGGCCCAGACUCCUACGUGAGGCAGCAGUGGGGAAUCUUGCGCAAUGGACGAAAGGCUGAUCGAGCAACGCCGCGUGAGUGAAGAAGGUUUUCGGAUCGUAAAACUCUUUUGUUAGAGAAGCGGUACCUAACCAGAAAGCCACGGCUAACUACGUGCCAGCCGCCGCGGUAAUAC
rnacentral:rRNA from 1 species